rnacentral:rRNA from 1 species
UAAUACAGGGAGGUAGUGACAAGAAAUAACAAUACAGGACUUUUUGGUUUUGUAAUUGGAAUGAGUUAAGUAUAAACCCCUUUACAAGUAUCAAUUGGAGGGCAAGUCUGGUGCCAGCAGCCGCGGUAAUUCCAGCUCCAAUAGCGUAUAUUAAAGUUGUUGCAGUUAAAAAGCUCGUAGUUGGAUUUCUGUUAAUAAUUUAUAUAAAAUAUUUUGAUGAAUAUUUAUAUAAUAUUAACAUAAUUCAUAUUACUAUUUUUUUUAGUAUAUGAAAUUUUACUUUGAGAAAAUUAGAGUGCUUAAAGCAGGCAUAUGCCUUGAAUACUCCAGCAUGGAAUAAUAUUAAAGAUUUUUAUCUUUUUUAUUGGUUCUAAGAUAAGAAUAAUGAUUAAUAGGGACAGUUGGGGGCAUUUGUAUUUAACAGUCAGAGGUGAAAUUCUUAGAUUUGUUAAAGACAAACUAAUGCGAAAGCAUUUGCCAAGGAUGUUUUCAUUAAUCAAGAACGAAAGUUAGGGGAUCGAAGACGAUCAGAUACCGUCGUAGUCUUAACAAUAAACUAUGCCAACUAGAGAUUGGAGGUUGUUCCUUACUCCUUCAGC